rnacentral:misc_RNA from 1 species
GUUUGCUUAUUUCUACGAAAUUAAAUGUCUGAUUGAACGUGAAUGCAAGAUAGUAUGAUCAUCCUUUUACAAUGCUAGUGAUACAUGAAAAUUGAUUCUAUUUGACUAUUUCAGCCAACCAAAUGCUAGAAUACAGUUAAACCAAAUGGUAGAUUAACAAGUACAGACCACAGCAAUUUGCAGUGUGUGUGUAAUAAUUGAAAAUAAAGAUGUUUUAAAAUAAUUCCUGAUACUAAACAUGUUUUAAAUAACACUUUUCUCUAAUCAUGUUUAACUAUCUAGUCAGUAUACAUUACACAAUCAUGCACAUUUAUGAUAAAGAACACAAAUAUGUGUCAUUCCCUUAGAGGUUGUUACUUAAUGAAAAUAAUGAGCGUAUGUCCUAUACUCACAUUCAUUUCAUUGAAACUAACGAACUUGACAGAUAAUGCAAUUUAAUCCGUAUAAGCAAAUUGAAAAUAUGAACAUUAUCCUUUCAACAUUCACAAACAACAGAUUCUAUUCACACCUCCUACCUAAUUCCCUUGCGGGAUUGAAUAAAGCAUAACCUAUUUGAGAAAUUGCAUCCCUUGCAACGAGGGAUUCUAUUCAGUUCAUUUCUGCUCAAUUUUAUAAACCUAAUUAAAUGCAAAACAUAACCCUACCAAAUUACCAAUGUUUAAUUUAUCAUCUUAAAGACUUAGACAAUUUAUCCUACAGUCAACUAGUGUCUAUUACAUUAAUGUUUGAGCCACUGUUGAGAAAUUCUAAUUCCAAAUGAAGCCUUAGUCAAAUUAGAAAAGCUGUGGGAGGAAAAAGAAUAACUCCAAUCUUAAGACUGUUUAUUAGCAUAAACGAAACCAAAUUUCUCCAGCUGAAGUGACAAAACCAGGAAAACAAAAUUGAAUUGAAAAUUGCAGAGAGAAAGCGAGAGAUUCUUGAAAUUGAGGAGGUAGUCGUGAGAAUGAUUACUUGCCUGGAAAAAGGAAUAGAUCGCGGAUGCUGAACUCAAGCUUUUCGGUUGAAGGCUUUCAAGCAAAUUAUUUUAGUAGUUGAAGGCUAGAAGCAUUUGGUCGCAGCAAUGUCUCUUGAAUGGCAUCUUUA